UAUUUAAUGCUAAUUAAGAGGCCGGUAACGAUUUUAGAGCAGAAAUGUAAAAUUGAUAGAUUUAGUCGUUGAAAUUGUACACCUUUUGUUACGUAAUAUCUAAAUAACAAGUAUUGGUUUCUAUUAGGACAUCUUCUCAUCUUGCUUUUUAAUAAUGAGGUCGCGAGCGUGCGUCACCGGUAAUAUACCGGAAGGGGCAGUUUUUAAAAAUUCAUCAAAAAAUUAUGGUGGUAAAUUAUACAAAAUGAUGUCUAAGAACAGUUUCAGGAAAUCUUGUAGAUUGUUUAAGUAUCAAAAUUACGUUGAAAUUAAGUCGAUUUUCAGAGACAUUGUCACUUGUUUUGAAGUAAUUUCUGGAGAAAAUUGAUUUCGUCUAACUUUCAUUUACACUA